GUGAAUCAUCGAAUUUUUGAACACAAAUUGCACUCUCUGGUUUUCCGGGAGAGUAUGCCUGUUUGGGGGUCAGACUAAAAAAAUCGACAUAGUUGCUGUUUCGCGGUGACAUUCGGAGGAAAUUGGGUCAUCUUAAAUCUUGGGGUUUUAAGCGGCUAAAAAUUUUCUUUACGAUUCUACGAACGUUUAUAAGAUUUUACUUCUUUUACGUUUAAGGUAUCGAUCUUUAUUAGACGUGGCCGUUGCAUCGGAUC
rnacentral:misc_RNA from 1 species